ACCUUGUAUUGAGAAAGCAAGAACUACAGUGCACUGCUGUGUAGUGCGUAGCUCCUGGAGAGAUACAAAAUGGCUGUUUCUGUUUUACCUUUUUGGCCUUGACAUGAGACUGUCACACAGAGAAAUGCUGGAGCUAGGAGUUAAUGGCAACGCCAGGAAUUGGAAAUAGCACCUGAGGACCAGAUUUUAAAUCCAAUGGAUGGUGUCUCUUGAUGCUUUUAUGGAGCAUGAAUGAAGAGGUCCACAUGCUAAAACCUUGGUCGACAGCCUGUGUUACUAUUAGAAUGUGUUGGAACCGUUGGAAGGUAGAGCCCAGUGGAAACAAGUUAGGUCGAUGGAAUGAACCCUUAGAG
rnacentral:lncRNA from 1 species